UACGGAGGGUGCUAGCGUUGUUCGGAAUUACUGGGCGUAAAGGGCGCGUAGGCGGCUUCUUGCGUCGGAUGUGAAAGCCCGGGGCUCAACCUCGGAACGGCAUUCGAUACGGGGGAGCUGGGGACCGGGAGAGGAGAGUGGAAUAGCCAGUGUAGAGGUGAAAUUCGUAGAUAUUGGCUGGAACACCGGUGGCGAAAGCGGCUCUCUGGCCCGGUUCUGACGCUGAGGCGCGAAAGCGUGGGGAGCAAACAGG
rnacentral:rRNA from 1 species